rnacentral:tRNA from 1 species
CAGGGAGACAAAAACUGAUCUUGAUGUCUCAGGACUUCUUUUCUUGGGCCAAGAUCCUGUCACCUUAGGUCGAUCGGUACCUCAGAUUAGAUACCAAAAACUUUUUUUGGACUAAUUUCUGUUCCUAAACUUGUCUAGGUCACACCCCGCAAGGGUUACUCCUGGGCCAUUAGCUCAGGUGGUUAGAGCGCACCCCUGAUAAGGGUGAGGUCCCUGGUUCAAGUCCAGGAUGGCCCAUUCGGUGUUGAGGGUAUAGCUCGGUUGGUAGAGCGCCUGCUUUGCAAGCAGGAUGUCAGCGGUUCGAGUCCGCUUACCUCCACUGACCGACCCCUUUCAGCAAUUAAGUUGAGAGCUUUUGUGUGAUGUGAUCUAUUCUGUAAUCCGCUGAUGGAACCUAGCUUCCUUUCAUUCCAACUUUUAAAAGUAAAGGUUGAAAGGAUGCUGGGCUCAUAUCAAUUUACUUGUUAAGUUGAUAAGUAGUUCAGCAGAACCUUGACAACUGCAUAGUGAGUCUGGAAAAGAAAGAAAGCAUCUCAUAGAUGUAUGGUUUUCUUGAUUUCUUUUGUUUUGCAAAAAAAUCUAGAAACUAUAUAUUUUUUUAUUGAGUAAGAGCCAAGAAUCUAUAGUUUUAAAAUCUAUUUUAAAAGGAUUUUAAGCGAUAGGUUUUUUAUUUU